rnacentral:rRNA from 1 species
CCUACGGGAGGCAGCAGUGGGGAAUUUUGGACAAUGGGCGAAAGCCUGAUCCAGCAAUGCCGCGUGCAGGAAGAAGGCCUUCGGGUUGUAAACUGCUUUUGUACGGAACGAAACGGUCUGCUUUAAUACAGUGGGCUAAUGACGGUACCGUAAGAAUAAGCACCGGCUAACUACGUGCCAGCAGCCGCGGUAAUACGUAGGGUGCGAGCGUUAAUCGGAAUUACUGGGCGUAAAGCGUGCGCAGGCGGUUAUAUAAGACAGUUGUGAAAUCCCCGGGCUCAACCUGGGAAUUGCAUCUGUGACUGUAUAGCUAGAGUACGGUAGAGGGGGAUGGAAUUCCGCGUGUAGCAGUGAAAUGCGUAGAUAUGCGGAGGAACACCGAUGGCGAAGGCAAUCCCCUGGACCUGUACUGACGCUCAUGCACGAAAGCGUGGGGAGCAAACAGGAUUAGAUACCCUGGUAGUCCACGCCCUAAACGAUGUCAACUGGUUGUUGGGUGCAUUAGUACUCAGUAACGAAGCUAACGCGUGAAGUUGACCGCCUGGGGAGUACGGCCGCAAGGUUGAAACGUCAAAUGAAUUGACGG